CUUCCGGUUGAUCCUGCCGGACCCGACUGCUAUCAGAGUGAGAUUAAGCCAUGCGAGUUAACGUAGCAAUACGUGGCGCACGGCUCAGUAACACGUAGUCAACAUGCCCAGAGGACGUGGAUAACCUCGGGAAACUGAGUCUAAACCGCGAUAAGUGAGGAUUUCUGGAAUGGUUCCUGACUAAAAUCUAUAUGGCCUCUGGAUUGGACUGCGGCCGAUCAGGCUGUUGGUGAGGUAAUGGCCCACCAAACCUGUAACCGGUACGGGCUCUGAGAGGAGGAGCCCGGAGAUGGGCACUGAGACAAGGGCCCAGGCCCUAUGGGGCGCAGCAGGCGCGAAACCUCUGCAAUAGGCGAAAGCUUGACAGGGUUACUCUGAGUGAUUUCCGCUAAGGGAAUCUUUUGGCACCUCUAAAAAUGGUGCAGAAUAAGGGGUGGGCAAGUCUGGUGUCAGCCGCCGCGGUAAUACCAGCACCCCGAGUGGUCGGGACGUUUAUUGGGCCUAAAGCAUCCGUAGCCGGUUCUACAAGUCUUCCGUUAAAUCCACCUGCUUAACAGAUGGGCUGCGGAAGAUACUAUAGAGCUAGGAGGCGGGAGAGGCAAGCGGUACUCGAUGGGUAGGGGUAAAAUCCGUUGAUCCAUUGAAGACCACCAGUGGCGAAGGCGGCUUGCCAGAACGCGCUCGACGGUGAGGGAUGAAAGCUGGGGGAGCAAACCGGAUUAGAUACCCGGGUAGUCCCAGCUGUAAACGAUGCAGACUCGGUGAUGAGUUGGCUUAUUGCUAACUCAGUGCCGCAGGGAAGCCGUUAAGUUUGCCGCCUGGGGAGUACGGUCGCAAGACUGAAACUUAAAGGAAUUGGCGGGGGAGCA
rnacentral:rRNA from 1 species